GGUAGCGUGGCCGAGUGGUCUAAGGCGCUGGUUUUAGGCACCAGUCUCUUUGGAGGGGUGGGUUCAAAUCCCACCGCUGCCA
rnacentral:tRNA from 1 species